rnacentral:lncRNA from 1 species
CUUCUAAAUACAGUGCCGAAAGUAGAAGUGUGUGACAGUUCGUACUCCGUUGUUAUCUCCUGUGGUUUAGUUCUCCGAAAUUUCAAUGUUGGAUUCGGAUUCGGAAAGGAUCAAGAUGGAUAACAUAUUUAGAAAUUUAGAGUGAUCUUCAUGCUGUAACCUCAAGAUUUAUAUGAACGUGCAAUGAAAGAAUCAAGAAAUAUAGAAAAGUACAAACAGGUUUGGUUAACAAACAAUGUGUAGGUACAAAUCUGAUAGUUUCAACCAGAGGAGAGGAAUUUGUGUAUCAACUUUACGUCAAGUCAUGAAAUAUGGGAAACAUUCAGCAAUAUCUAUGAAAAGGAUAAGAACAGCAAAGACAAUCCGUUACAGAGGAAUUUUUCACGUAUAAAUAUAAAUUUGAACAUGAUAUUGUAAUCCACAUUGCGUAAUUAACAGAACGUGUAUUUGCAAAUGCGUGGGAGUUAAUGCAGAAAGAAGAAAAGAGAAUAGAUAAUCUCAAGACUGAACUGAUUGCAAAGGAAGCAAGGGGAAAAGCAGGUCUGUAGCCUCCAAACCUCAAGAGAAGAGAUAUUUUAAGUAUAAUUCCAUUAGACAUCUUGCAUAUGUAUGUUGGAAAAACAACAAAGGAUUAAGAAGAAAAGACGAAACUUAAGAAGUGUACUCUCUCUGUGUUACAUGUAAGAAGUCUAAUUAUUUGGAAAAAUCACUUAGAUUGUUAUUUUAAAAACACGAAGGAAAGGAAUGGAGAUCAAGAUAAAAAAAGGAAAGUGUGCUUCUUGACAGAGAACAAUGAAACAGAAUAAUGGGUUUUGGACUCGAGAACAAUGACCCAUAUGGUUAAUAAACUGGAAUAUUUUAAAAAUAGGAAGAAAUAAUAAUGGAAAGUGGAGUAGUGUGAAGAAAUAUUUCCAUGGAAGCUAAAGCGAAAGUUAGAAUAGAGUCAGAUACUUGAAUAUUGUUUGUGUUCUACACUUGAGACAGAAUUUCUUGUCAGUAAAUCUGAUAACUGGAGAUGGUGGUGAAGUAAUGCUCAAGGAAAAUGAAGUAAUAGUUCAUAAAAACAAAGAAGAAAUAUUUGUAGGGAAGAUGUAUAAUAAUGGACUUUAUACUAGUAGAGAGGAACAAGAAGCUAGUAGAGAGGCACAAGAAAUUGGGGAAUCUAUGUAUAGGGAACAUGAAAGAGUUGUCCAAGAAAGUAUUAGAAAUAAAAUUAAUCAAAAGAGUACUAAAGACAGGAAUUAGAGAACAUAGGAUGUUUUUGUGAAGCAAAGCAAUCGAAGAUUCCAUUUCAGGGGACGACAACAAGGUUGAAAAGCCAGUUAGAAACAAAACAUUCUGAUUUAUGUGAGCUUAUACAGCCAGAGACAUAGAACAGAAAUGGCAGCAGAAACAAAGUGGAAUAACAUACAGAUUUAAAUGCGUAAACGGAAACAGGAGUUUACCAGCCGAGAAUUCAAGAAUUGGUGCAGACAGAAAGUAAUUAUGCUGGAUUAUCCAACUCUGUACACGUCUCAACUAAAUAGAAACACUUAAUCGAACAUAAUUGAAUAAAACACGAGAAUUCCUGUACGACUGAAAUGGAAAAGAAAUUGUGGAUGGAGGCUGCAUACUUUGCAACUUAUCUACGGAAUAAAAGUUCUGCAACAGCAAUGAAUACAAC